rnacentral:rRNA from 1 species
AGAGUUUGAUCCUGGCUCAGGACGAACGCUGGCGGCGUGGAUUAGGCAUGCAAGUUGAGCGACGGUAUUCCUUCGGGGAUAUACGGAGCAGCGAACGGGUGAGUAACACGUGAACAAACUGACCCUACAUUCCGGAUAAUUGGGAGAAAUCCCUUGUAAUACGGGCGAGGAUCCAGAGAAGGCAUCUUUUUUGGAGGGAACGAGCAAUCGGUGCAGGGAGGUGUUCGCGGCCUAUCAGUUAGUUGGUGGGGUAAUGGCCUACCAAGACGACGACGGGUAGCUGGUCUGAGAGGAUGGUCAGCCACAUUGGAACUGAGAUACUGUCCAGACUCCUACGGGAGGCUGCAGUCGAGAAUCUUGGGCAAUGCACGAAAGUGUGACCCAGCGACGCCGCGUGAAGGAUGAAGGAGCUCUGCUUCGUAAACUUCUUUUAUGAGGAAAGAAAAGCCUUCGGGCCUUGACGGUACCUCAUGAAUAAGCCACGGCUAACUACGUGCCAGCAGCCGCGGUAAUACGUAGGUGGCAAGCGUUGUCCGGAUUUACUGGGCGUAAAGCGAACGCAGGCGGAUGGUUAAGUAAGAAGUGAAAGGUUGCAGCUCAACUGCGACACUGCUUUUUAUACUGGCCGUCUUGAGUAGCGGAGAGGGAGAUGGAACGACACGUGUAGCGGUGAAAUGCGUUGAUAUGUGUCGGAACACCAAUGGCGAAAGCAAUCUCCUGGACGCAAACUGACGCUGAGGUUCGAAAGCCAAGGUAGCAAACAGGAUUAGAUACCCCUGUAGUCC